AGAAAUUGUGAGUGGAAGAACAUACUCUUAGGGGACCAACCAGGUCAACGUGCGCUAAGGUUGACGGUUAGGAGGUGGAUUUAUUCAGCACGAGGACUGCUUGUUGUAAUACAUAUAGAAGGCAUUAAUAGUAGUAAGUGUUUUGAUGAUUGUUGAUGUUAUGGAUUAAGGACAAAGAAGAAACUGUAAUAAGUGUACAACUGUGUGACUUGCAAACUAGACCCAAAACCAUAGGGGAGAGAACGCCUCUGACACUCCUGUUCUCGGGGAACAAGUCUAGUUUCUACACUAAAGACAAUAUGAUGGUUUGGACAGAAUAAUCAUCUUAUUGCAACAGGUAUCUUCUGUAUUAAUAUUCAAGCAGUAUUAACCGAUGGGUGCAGGCAUUAAAUCGUAAAUCGUUUGUCUAGAUACCAGAGUGAUUGGGAACCUUACAAGAGCAACGGCAGGUGAAGAGUCUACUCUUUGGGAACCCUACAAGAGCAAAGGCAGGUGAAGAGUCUACUCUGGAACCCUACAAGAGCAACGGCAGGUGAAGAGUCUACUCUUUGGGAACCCUACAAGAGCAACGGCAGGUGAAGAGUCUACUCUGGAACCCUACAAGAGCAACGGCAGGUGAAGAGUCUACUCUUUGGGAACCCUACAAGAGCAACGGCAGGUGAAGAGUCUACUCUUUGGGAACCCUACAAGAGCAACGGCAGGUGAAGAGUCUACUCUUUGGGAACCCUACAAGAGCAACGGCAGGUGAAGAGUCUACUCUUUGGGAACCCUAUAAGAGCAACGGCAGGUGAAGAGUCUACUCUUUGGGAACCCUAUAAGAGCAACGGCAGGUGAAGAGUCUACUCUUUGGGAACCCUAUAAGAGCAACGGCAGGUGAAGAGUCUACUCUUUGGGAACCCUACAAGAGCAACGGCAGGUGAAGAGUCUACUCUUUGGGAACCCUACAAGAGCAACGGCAGGUGAAGAGUCCACUCUUUGGGAACCCUAUAAGAGCAACGGCAGGUGAAGAGUCUACUCUUUGGGAACCCUAUAGGAGCAACGGCAGGUGAAGAGUCUACUCUUUGGGAACCCUAUAAGAGCAACGGCAGGUGAAGAGUCUACUCUUUGGGAACCCUAUAAGAGCAACGGCAGGUGAAGAGUCUACUCUUUGGGAACCCUACAAGAGCAACGGCAGGUGAAGAGUCUACUCUUUGGGAACCCUAUAAGAGCAACGGCAGGUGAAGAGUCUACUCUUUGGGAACCCUAUAAGAGCAACGGCAGGUGAAGAGUCCACUCUUUGGGAACCCUAUAAGAGCAACGGCAGGUGAAGAGUCUACUCUUUGGGAACCCUACAAGAGCAACGGCAGGUGAAGAGUCCACUCUUUGGGAACCCUAUAAGAGCAACGGCAGGUGAAGCGUCCACUCUUUGGGAACCCUACAAGAGCAACGGCAGGUGAAGAGUCUACUCUUUGGGAACCCUAUAAGAGCAACGGCAGGUGAAGAGUCUACUCUUUGGGAACCCUAUAAGAGCAACGGCAGGUGAAGAGUCUACUCUUUGGGAACCCUAUAAAGAGCAACGGCUGGUGAAGUCUACUCUUUGGGAACCCUAUAAGAGCAACGGCGGGUGAAGAGGCUACUCUUUGGGAACUAAAGAUGCCUGGUAAAGGUACUCUAAGUCUGAUUGAUAUUAUCUAAGAUCCUGAAACACGCCUAAUGGCACCACAAAGGCUAAUAUCAGAAUAAAAGGGCAGGCUACAUAACCAGGCCAGUCCGGCGGGCCUGUGAGUCACCUGUUAGCCGGGUGACAUAAGAACUUGAGUGAGACAAAUUGGGGUACCUCAAUGGUCUUCUAGCAAAAUCCCCCACCGCGACAAUAUCCCUUUUACUCCAUGCUUUACCUAAACUGACAACUUUUAUACAGCCCAGGUUUCUAUUUCAGCAGUGUCUGGUUUCUCCCUGAAUUUGGAUGAACAGUGAAAAGCAUUUUCUACCAUAGCCUCCAUUUUGGCUCUGAGAACGGGGGACUACUUGGCCCCCUGUCUAGUGCCUCUCCACAAACUGCAAAGAGCUGAAAAUAGGAGGACAGAAGAAGUGGGGAAAGUGAGGCGUUAUUCAAAGAUUCAUUUCUGCAUAACUGUUUUAUUCUUUUCAGCCGUAUAGCAGCUGGGGACGCCAAGAGUGGAUUGGUGUUGACAGGUCUUUACGGUUGCCAUUAGGAUGGGGAGCAUUGGUGCUUAGGUUAUUAAUCUACACAGCACCGAUUCUGCCGCAGCCUCAACAAACACAGGCAGCACAACUCUGAGGAAUGUCCAGACAAGUGGAGGACAAAGGAGGCCCUGCUCACCCACCCACUCCCCCAGAGUCCUGUUAGCCCCCUGCCCUACCUUAUGAUAAGAAAGCACAGCCACAUCUGUUAACAGCUGCAUAACAACACAGAACACUGGAAGAGAUCACCACCCCACCUUCUCUGACAGUGGGGUGGUGGCUGUAAUGCUUCAGAUGAAGAGAGCUUUCACUAAGGCUUCCUUGUACCUGGAGUCAGGGUCUCUACAAACUACUACUGUACCUCUGCCCUGCAGUUGGUAAAAUCCAUCUGACUGGACUUAACUCCAAAAGGUUUAUUAGGUUAGUGAAAUGUAAUAUAUCUAACCCAUAUCUUCCCAGCAGGAAUAUGUUAAGACUUAACCUAAGUUAGCUGUAUAUUAAUCAUGGUCCCUCUGGUUGAAUUCAUUCCUGAAAAUAGCCUCCCCUACCCAGCCUCUCUUCUCUUCUCUCCUCCACAUCUCCCUCAGAGAGCUUCAUUCCACCGCUGAGGCUCGCUGCUGCCUGGCAACCAGAUCAACACUGCAGCCUGCCAAAGGGUGAGGCCCCCGAACGGUUGCAUUCUGGAGCAGCCAAGAGAGACGUCUGCACAGUCAUUUCUUUGGGGAUUUUUGUAAUUUGGACAUGAAUAUACUGUAUCUAGUACUUGAGACAGACACAGACCCCGAGAAACAGUAAAGUGUACAUAAAUUACAUUAAUAUGAUACUGUAUCAUACAAUGUUUAAUAUAAACUUGUUAUUAACUUUGUUUUCUCACAAAUGGAAAGAGUCCAUACUUAUUUCCAAAUUCUAUAUUGAGGCCUAAUGGUCCCAUAAUAUAUAAAGUAAAAACAUUCCUUAGGUGUUGCUAUGGAAAAACUAUGAAUAAGAGCAGUGGAUGAAGUCCAGUGUCUGGGAAGGCAUGCCAGUUCUCUGCAGCUCUAUUGUCACCCUCCUCUUUUGGGAGUCUUCCCUCGCUGUUGCUGUUCCCAGUAUGGGCAAGGGCCGCUCUGA